GUAUACGCGGCCGUGAUUCGAGCUCCCAUCUCGCGAAUGCUCUAGAUUAUUUCGUCGGUAGAUUGGACUACCAUGGCUUUCACGGGUAACAGGGAAUUAGGGUUCGAUUCUGGAGAAGGAGCCUGAGAAACGGCUACUACAUCUACGGAAGGCAGCAGGCGCGUAAAUUACCCAAUCCUGACUCAGGGAGGUGGUGACAAGAUAUAACGACGCGAUUAAUGUCGUGAUUGUAGUGAGGAUAUUCCAAAAAGAAUCACAAGAACGAUUAGAGGGCAAGUCUGGUGCCAGCAGCCGCGCGGAAAAACACGCCCGCAAUAGCGUAUAUUAAAGUUGCUGCUGUUAAAAAGCUCGUAGUUGGAUUUCCAGGAUAUACAUAUUCCUAAGGAAUGUGUACCCUACUAGCCAGUUCUGGCUGUUACUGUGAGAAAAUUAGAGUGUUUAAAGCACGCUCAUGCAAGAAUACAUUAGCAUGGAAAUAACGAAUGAGUCUAGAAUCUUGGUUUAAUUCUAGAUCUCGAUUAAUAGAGACAGUUGGGGGCAUUAGUAUUUAAUUGUCAGAGUGAAAUUCUUGGAUUUGUUAAAGACUAACUUAUGCGAAAGCAUUUGCCAGAUGUUUUCAUAUCAGACGAAGAUAGGAUCAAGACAUCAGAUACUGUCGUAGUCUAUCUAACCUUGCGAUAGGAUGAUGGACUGACAUCAGUACUUAGAAAAUCAAGUCUUGGUCUCGGGGGGAAUUGGUUG
rnacentral:rRNA from 1 species